rnacentral:rRNA from 1 species
UACGUAGGGGGCAAGCGUUGUCCGGAUUCAUUGGGCGUAAAGAGCGUGUAGGCGGCCUGAAAGGUCAGCUGUGAAAACUCGAGGCUCAACCUCGAGACGUCGGUUGAAACCAUCUGGCUAGAGUCCGGAAGAGGAGUGUGGAAUUCCCGGUGUAGCGGUGAAAUGCGCAGAUAUCGGGAAGAACACCCGUGGCGAAGGCGGCACUCAGGGACGGUACUGACGCUGAGACGCGAAAGCGUGGGGAGCGAACAGG